rnacentral:rRNA from 1 species
UACGUAGGGUGCAAGCGUUGUCCGGAAUUAUUGGGCGUAAAGAGCUCGUAGGCGGUUUGUCGCGUCGAAUGUGAAAACCCGGGGCUCAACCCCGGGCCUGACAUUCGAUACGGGCAGACUAGAGUUCGGUAGGGGAGUCUGGAAUUCCUGGUGUAGCGGUGAAAUGCGUAGAGUAUCGCUUGGAACGCCAAAGGUGAAAACAGGUUGCUGGGGUUGUGCCGAC